UUAAUUUUUCAGGCCCUGAUUCCCAUUCCAGAAGACCCAUUCAUGUGUGUGGCUACAGGCAGCUACAAUGGAGAGAGAGAAUAUUGAGAACAACACUUAUCUGCAGGGUAGAAGCUGUCUUAUGAGAGGAUGUUUUUGCUAAAGCAGACACGUGAGAGGACAUAUGGUGCUUGGAAAAAUGUAUAAAUGGAACCCAAUAAAAAGUGAGAGGACACUCUUGUACUGGUUCGCCUUGCAAUGCUUUGCUGCUCUUCACUGAUCUUUGAUGGUCAUGACUUCCUAAAAAGAAACAUCCCAAAGAACAUCUUGUGAUAUUCUGGCUACUCCUUGCUGCCUCCUGGACUCAUGCCAAUGCGGCAGAGCCUCCCAGUUUCUUCUGAAUUGAGCAGCUGCUAUUAAUUCAUGUUUGGUGUUUGCUCAUUGGACUGGACUAUUGUUACUGAUCAUGUUGGAUGUUUUGAACUGGACUGCUGAUAUCCUAAAAACAAAGACUGGAAUUGCCACCAAAGCACUACUUCUAAACAGGUCCACAUCCUCCUUGUCCUAUUAACCAUCUUUCUCCCCUACCUUUGUUCGGUGGGUUGAAGCAUUUAAGAACCCCUACUAGAGUAGAUUUUCAAAAUCUAACCUACACAGAAGCAGUAAGGCAGAUUCCUUGUGCUCUUUGUUCCAAGUUCUACAAAAGCACAACUCAAUAUCAGAACCAUGACUCAGAUCCAGUCAAGGUCAUUGUGCUGAGCAGAUGAGAAAAAGACAUACAGGCUCUGGAGAUUCUUUACUAAGACUUAAUAUCUAUCUGCCUAUAGUAUAUGAAGCUGUUGAUCAUAUCACUUUCAAAAGCAAGGAAUAAGGGUUCUCUGUAGCUAUCCUGUUACUUUCUCCUCUAUUCUAUCAUCCCUAGGAAGUAUUUCUUCUUGCUUACUCAGCAUUUGGACAGGUAAUUAGAUACAUUCCACAAUGCCAUUGGUGCUUCCCAGGAAGCAAAACAAAUCUUAGGACACUUGAAUCCCGGUCAUAUGUGGCUCUCCUACUUGUCCACUUCUUAUUGAAAUUUUAUCCAACAUUGUAAAUAAUGAUGCUUCUCCCCUUAGUAUGGGGGAGAAUAGAUAUAGGCACUGCAAUAUGCUGAAUAUGAUCCUCAGAUCCAUCCCUGGAGCUGCCACUGGAACCAAGAGAGACAGAUGUGCUAGGCAUGGAACAUCCGUAAUCCCAGGACUCAGCAUAGUCAGAAGGGUCAGGAGAUUAGGGCCAUCCUUUCGAUCAUAGUGAGAUAGAGACAGGUUAUAUCCUUCCAUCUCAAAAGGAAGAAAGAAGGGAAGGAGGGAAGGAGGGAGGGAGGAAGAGAAGGAGGGAAGGAAUGAAAAUAUACUGGUACACAGUCUCCUAAUAAUAGAAGAAAAGAACAAAGCCUUGUCUGUACCAGUCUUCAGUGAUGUGCAAACAAAGGGCCAUCAAGUGUUCUGUGUUAUGCAUCUUGCUCAAAAAUUGGCUCCUACUUUGGUACAAGAAUAUAAAAGUAAAAGUUCUGAUGUUACCUUUUGUACUUUGUCCCAUAUAAACCAUGUGACAUCCUCCAGUGUCACUGGAUAGAGGAUAUGUCUAGCUCUUGAUAUGCUGUGGCUGUCUGAGUGGGUACUGUAUGGUGUUCACUCCUGGGGCUGACCCCAGGGUUAUCCCCUGUGUUACUGUCAUGACAGUAACAUGAGUAGCACAACUCUGAACAAACUCACAUAAGUCUGAUCAAUUUUGACUCCUCCACUCCUCAGGACAAAAUUCAUUUAUAGCAAUGCAGUAUUUUGUACUUUGGGGUGUGAAAAUUAAACUUUGGUUGGUCAGGGUGGUUGCUAUGUGCCUGUAGACCGUGAUGCAAAUACUUUAGUAUUUGCAUUGCAACUUGAAAAGUUUUGAAAGAAAAUAUCCCAGUUAUAAGCAGGUUAAUAAAAUAGAUGAGUCUGCUUAUUUUUUAGUUUUGCUUAAUUUUUUUCCCACCGAAAUUCUCUCUUGAGGCUGAUUUUUGAGAAUCAUCCAUUGGCAGAUAAAUUUUUCCCAAUUCUUUUCUAUUGUUGUAAACUUGGCUAAACCCAGAAUACACAGAUUGACAAUAGAUCGUUGCAAUAACA